rnacentral:snRNA from 1 species
AGACUCUGGUUUCUCUUCAUUACGCACAAGCCUUUCGCCUUUUACUAAAGACUUCCGUGGAGAGGAACACUUACGAGUUCCACGUAUUUUUGGGAGCGCUUUGCUUCUUGCAGACCC